CCAUGGCGAUGGCGAACGAGAAGAAGGUUUGGGCAUCUGGUUUCCUUCGUGAAGCGGCUACUGAAGGAGGGACAUUGCGUUGUCGGGGUACUUAAGCUAAUCGAUUCUACUUAGAAAUUGCUUUUCUUGUUUGUGCGAGCUUCCGGGGGAGAGAAAGAAGGCUGACUUUGUCACGGAAUUAGCCGCCUUUGACGAUAUUGUCCAAGUUUUCCAUCUCGCGGGCCGUGACUUUCAGCUACAAGGAGUUCUUCUUCCAGACCGAGAUUGUUGAUCCAUGCGUGCUUGGAACUCUGAACGUGCUCAAUGCCUGGAAACAAUCCACAAAGUCAAGCGAGUGGUGUGCACGUCAUCCGUGGCUUCUGUUAGUGCGAGGAACAACUUGAUGAAUCGGUGUGGAGCUCCCCAGACUGCUGCCGUGAGAUUGAGUCCAAAUGUGGUAUGGUCUGGGAAAGACUCUACCCGAGCAAGCAGCACUCGAGUUUGGGAAAGAAAACGGCAUAGAGGUGAUCACAAUCGCUCCCAGCGUCGUGGGAGAACUUCU